rnacentral:rRNA from 1 species
UGCAGUCGAGCGAAGUUUUUCUGGUGCUUGCACUAGAAAAACUUAGCGGCGAACGGGUGAGUAACACGUAAAGAACCUGCCUCAUAGACGGGGACAACUAUUGGAAACGAUAGCUAAUACCGGAUAACAACAUAAAUCGCAUGAUAUAUGUUUAAAAGUUGGUUUCGGCUAACACUAUGAGAUGGCUUUGCGGUGCAUUAGCUAGUUGGUGGGGUAAAGGCCUACCAAGGCGACGAUGCAUAGCCGACCUGAGAGGGUGAUCGGCCACACUGGGACUGAGACACGGCCCAGACUCCUACGGGAGGCAGCAGUAGGGAAUCUUCCGCAAUGGGCGAAAGCCUGACGGAGCAACGCCGCGUGAGUGAAGAAGGAUUUCGGUUCGUAAAGCUCUGUUGUUAGGGAAGAAUGAUUGUGUAGUAACUAUACACAGUAGAGACGGUACCUAACCAGAAAGCCACGGCUAACUACGUGCCAGCAGCCGCGGUAAUACGUAGGUGGCAAGCGUUGUCCGGAAUUAUUGGGCGUAAAGCGCGCGCAGGUGGUUUAAUAAGUCUGAUGUGAAAGCCCACGGCUCAACCGUGGAGGGUCAUUGGAAACUGUUAAACUUGAGUGCAGGAGAGAAAAGUGGAAUUCCUAGUGUAGCGGUGAAAUGCGUAGAGAUUAGGAGGAACACCAGUGGCGAAAGCGGCUUUUUGGCCUGUAACUGACACUGAGGCGCGAAAGCGUGGGGAGCAAACAGAUUAGAUAC